rnacentral:tRNA from 1 species
GGGCGUGGCGAAAUUGGUAGACGCACUGGAUUUAGGUUCCAGCGCCGCAAGGUGUAAGAGUUCGAGUCUCUUCGCCCACCA